CCUACGGGUGGCAGCAGUGAGGAAUAUUGGUCAAUGGGAGAGAUCCUGAACCAGCCAAGCCGCGUGAGGGAAGACGGCCCUAUGGGUUGUAAACCUCUUUUGUCGGAGAACAAAACCCGGGACGUGUCCCGGACUGCGUGUAUCCGAAGAAAAAGCAUCGGCUAACUCCGUGCCAGCAGCCGCGGUAAUACGGAGGAUGCGAGCGUUAUCCGGAUUUAUUGGGUUUAAAGGGUGCGUAGGUUGUUUUUUAAGUCAGCGGUGAAAGUUUGUGGCUCAACCAUAAAAUUGCCGUUGAAACUGGAAGACUUGAGUGUGUUUGAGGUAGGCGGAAUGCGUGGUGUAGCGGUGAAAUGCAUAGAUAUCACGCAGAACUCCGAUUGCGAAGGCAGCUUACUAAGCCAUAACUGACACUGAAGCACGAAAGCGUGGGGAUCAAACAGGAUUAGAUACCCUGGUAGUC
rnacentral:rRNA from 1 species